UGGCAGGAUAAUUUUUUGGCUUUUUGUAGCUGCUACUAGUGGCCCUGUGUGUUUUCACCCUAAACGUUGUGUAAAAUAAACAGCAAAUUCCUCAACAUUUGUGCGCCUUCCAAAUUCCACAUUUGGCGGCAUUAGAAAAGUAGAAUGCAUGAUAAGUGCACCUUUUUCCUUUUGAUGUGUGGUGAAUUUGAAUGUUGUUUCUUUGCUGUAUUUUUACACAACCGUAAAUAUUCCCCGUAGUGUCAGUCAAUCGUUCAAGUGUCCAUUGCUAAUUGAUGUGAAAGGGAUAUGCUCUUAGUCAGAGAGGAUCUGGAUAAUUGGCUAUAUAUAUUUUUCAUUGUCCUUUUAUUUGAUAAGGCUGAGAACUCUGCUCCCUGAAUAUCGCAUAAUCAUCUUUUGGUAGGGAGUCAUCAGUUACCAGAGAGAGAGUCUGAUAGUAAUAAAGCAAGCAAGUCUUUAUAAAGUUCAAGAAUGCCUUUGAAACAUACAUUUUAUCUUCUGGACCUGUUUUCCCAAUACUUAGCUUUUCUUGCUAACUGUUUAAACUUUUUUUCCUAGAUACAACAAUUUAUUUUUUGUGGAGGAAGAGUUAUCUUCUUUGAAAGGAAUGCUGUCUUCCAUCUCUAAAACAGUCAUUUUGGAGUACACAAGCUUGGCCCACAAAAGUUUUGGAAGGUCGAAGAGGCUAGAACAUUACCGGGUGGAUGGAGCCAGGGCAUACCUAAUAAUGCACAGUUAAGACUUCAUGACAGAACAGUUAGAUGAAUACAGGUUUCAUUCAAAUCUUCUGUCUACUCGGGAGUGGGCUAUUACCUUGAAUGGACAGUACCAUAUGACAGAUAAGCCAAUUGUCUAUACUAUACAGACUCUAUAUGUAAGAAAUUUAAAGUAAAGGUCUAUGAUAGAUACAUUUGUAUUAAAAUAAUAUGUGCAGAAUGAAACACUGUUAUAUGUUUUAAUGAUACUAUGUUAUAAUUUGGUCCUCAAGGAUACUAUGUUAUAAUAUGGUCUGACACUAGGUGGCGGUAUAUUUUAGGCUAUUUAAAGCCAUGUGGUUAUUGAAUUUUAUGCUUGACAAAGAGUGGAGUGCCACUCGAAACGUUGCACUAUGUUGCUAUGCUGCUAUGCAAUGCUUUGCAAACAAUAAAGGCGGUCUUAAUGAAAAAU